UACGAAGGGUGCAAACGUUGCUCGGAAUCAUUGGGCGUAAAGCGCACGUAGGCGGCCCAGCAAGUUGGAUGUGAAAUCCCUCGGCUCAACCGAGGACGUGCAUCCAAAACUGCUGGGCUUGAGUACUGAAGAGGAUCGCGGAAUUCCCGGUGUAGAGGUGAAAUUCGUAGAUAUCGGGAGGAACACCGGUGGCGAAGGCGGAUCUCUGGGCCUUACCUGACGCUCAGGUGCGAAAGCUAGGGGAGCGAACAGG
rnacentral:rRNA from 1 species